rnacentral:sRNA from 1 species
UUAUCGCGCCCGUUGUGCAUACGGUGCACAC